GGGACGUCGCAUGACUGGCGGAACGUAACGUGGAGUCACCACGAUGGAGUGUGACGUUGAUAUCGCCGACCGCCUGGGCACAACUU
rnacentral:ncRNA from 2 species